GCUGGCGGCAGGCCUAACACAUGCAAGUCGAGCGGUCGUAGCAAUACGGCAGCGGCAGACGGGAGAGUAACACGUGGGAACGCGCCCUUCGGUUCGGGAUAACCCAGGGAAACUUGGGCUAAUACCGGAUACGCCCUUACGGGGAAAGAUUUAUUGCCGAAGGAACGGCCCGCGUCCGAUUAGCUAGUUGGUGAGGUAACGGCUCACCAAGGCGACGAUCGGUAGCUGGUCUGAGAGGAUGACCAGCCUCACUGGGACUGAGACACGGCCCAGACUCCUACGGGAGGCAGCAGUGGGGAAUAUUGGACAAUGGGCGCAAGCCUGAUCCAGCCAUGCCGCAUGGGUGAUGAAGGCCCUAGGGUUGUAAAGCCCUUUCAGCGGGGAAGAUAAUGACGGUACCCGCAGAAGAAGCCCCGGCUAACUUCGUGCAGCAGCCGCGGUAAUACGAAGGGGGCUAGCGUUGCUCGGAAUUACUGGGCGUAAAGCGCACGUAGGCGGCUUUCUAAGUCGGGGGUGAAAUCCUGGAGCUCAACUCCAGAACUGCCUUCGAUACUGGAAAGCUCGAGUCCGGGAGAGGUGAGUGGAACUGCGAGUGUAGAGGUGAAAUUCGUAGAUAUUCGCAAGAACACCAGUGGCGAAGGCGGCUCACU
rnacentral:rRNA from 1 species